AGUGAACGCUGGCGGUAGGCCUAACACAUGCAAGUCGAACGGCAGCACAGUAAGAGCUUGCUCUUACGGGUGGCGAGUGGCGGACGGGUGAGGAAUACAUCGGAAUCUACUUUUUCGUGGGGGAUAACGUAGGGAAACUUACGCUAAUACCGCAUACGACCUACGGGUGAAAGCAGGGGAUCUUCGGACCUUGCGCGAUUGAAUGAGCCGAUGUCGGAUUAGCUAGUUGGCGGGGUAAAGGCCCACCAAGGCGACGAUCCGUAGCUGGUCUGAGAGGAUGAUCGGCCACCCUGGAACUGAGACACGGACCAGACUCCUAAGGGAGGCAGCAGUGGGGAAUAUUGGACAAUGGGCGCAAGCCUGAUCCAGCCAUACCGCGUGGGUGAAGAAGGCCUUCGGGUUGUAAAGCCCUUUUGUUGGGAAAGAAAAGCAGCAGGUUAAUACCCCGCUGUUCUGACGGUACCCAAAGAAUAAGCACCGGCUAACUUCGUG
rnacentral:rRNA from 1 species